rnacentral:lncRNA from 1 species
UGCUGAUACUGCUGAGUGGAAAAAUCACGCCUCCAGACUGAGAGUAUUACAUUUUAGCCUGUGCAAGGAUAUACAGUCUCAGUACUCAGAGGAAAAAGUGCAGUCAACUUCUGGCAAGAGCUGCUAUGAACCAGCAAGACAUAGAGGACGCAGUUAGGAGUCACCCUUCCGGGUGCUGAAGCGCAAAGGGCAGAACUUAAAGUUGGAAGGAGAAUGUAUUUGGGUGGAGACAGGUGUUGGAGACCAUUACACCUGGAGUAGCUCCUGAUAAGAAGUGACUUUUUACUACUGCUUACAUUUCUUUUCUUGAAGCUUGGACAUGACUGCAACCUACAGAAAAUGAGGUGGGUGAAUUGCUUCCAGUUCCACGACUUACAAUUCCCUUGGCUUUGGUAUUAGAACUCAACAUGUACCUUCUAUAAUACAUUUAUAAAAAUUCUAUCUUAUCUCUCAAUCUAUUAUAUUUUUCAAGUGAUUUUCAGUGUCAAGAUAUAGCCACAAGAUUUGACUCAGUUUUUAAAUAGUUAUUGAAUGCUGGAAAGACGGAAAGAGACUAUUAAGCAAAAUGAAAAG